AUCUCAUCUCUCUCUUCUUUGCCGCUUCUUGUAGC
rnacentral:sRNA from 1 species